GGUCAGGGGUUUAUGUUUUGAUUAUGGAGCAGUUCGCGCCAUUGGGCUCAGAAUGUCACUCACCCACGCAAGUUACUGCGUUUGCGGUUUUUUGGUCAUGGGCUGUCACAUAUAGGGUCCAGCUGACAGAGGUUGCUUUAAAACGUUAGUUUGGCAGAACCCAGUCGGAGGAGUCGCAAUAAGAGACUACAACAACGGCUAACAAAUAUGCCCCGAGUUUCAACCAACCGACACAAAGGCUACAAGUACCAAGCCGAACACCUGGGAAUUAUAUCUGGUCAAAGUUGUACGCGAAAUGGAUUAAAUGGACGGGUUAAUUUGGACAACAGAAACUAUUAAUGUGGCAACAGGAGCCCAAAUGCCUUAAAAGCACGACAAUUUACUUGGAAACCGCGACAUGCCAAUCUUGAACGGAGCGUUUGUUUUCUAGCGUCGUACGGGAAGUCGAGUGUCCCGCUCCGGCCACCACUUAUGAUUCUUGACCCCGGACCACCAGCAGCGUGCUUGGGCGCAGAGUAGGCUACUGCGUGAAGGCCGCGCCGCCGAAUAUACAUCCGGUAUUUUGUGCGCAUUUGGGACGGCAGGUGGAUAGGCAGGUGCCACGGCGUGCGUAAAGGCAACGGGACUGUCAUACCGCCGUAUGCUCUGGGCUCUGCAAGCGCUGGCCAAGGAAUGUAUCGUCGAGGUCCUCAUCUUGGAACCGUUCCUGGCCAGCCUCAGAGCGUUGUUGUGGUUAGGAUUCCCCCCACAGCUAAGGAGGCUUACCAAUGGACAUACCUUCUGGAACACGCGCAACUGAGACUUCGUUCAUGACAGCCUGAGUUCAGAGGGGCUUUACCUACUACCGAGGACUAACACUCCGUGCCCGGCUCUUCAAAGCCCGGCUCCUGUCAUACGGAGAACCAGAGUUUGCACAGCGCUUUGGUGGUAUAAGUGUAUGGUGAAACCUUGCUGUGCCCUCGAAAAAAAAGCCCUAGAUCUAAAUCCAUAAAAGCCUAGACGCUGUCUAAACCAUUACCGUUUCCGGCCCAAGAAACGGCUCCGUUCAGGAGCAGA